GAUGAAGAACGUAGCGAAAUGCGAUAAGUAAUGUGAAUUGCAGAAUUCCGUGAAUCAUCGAAUCUUUGAACGCACAUUGCGCCCCCUGGUAUUCCGGGGGGCAUGCCUGUCCGAGCGUCAUUGCAACCCUCACGCGCGGCUUGCGUGUUGGGCGCCGUCCCCCGUGGACGCGCCCGAAAGGCAGUGGCGGUACCGUGCUCCGGUGCCCGAGCGUAUGGGCUUAAAACCCGCUCUUGUGGCCCGGCCGGCGCUGGCCUCGACCCCCAACUUUACAAGGUUGACCUCGGAUCAGGUAGGGAUACCCGCUGAACUUAAGCAUAUCAAUAAGCGGAGGA
rnacentral:misc_RNA from 1 species